AAAGCAGUCUUUGGCUUAACACUCAAACGACUCGUCCAAUCUCCAAAAGGAGGAAAUUCAGACUCGCUUUGUGCGCAAACGAGGCGGGCACAAAUCGUCGAGAUAUCCGAUUCUAAACGUGCUCGCGAUCCCUAGCGGCUCGAAAAGCGGUUUCAGAGAGCGGUGUUCCUCAUCAAUCACCGGUGGGCCGCAACUCCGUUUAUUUUAAGUCGGCCGCGUUUUUAAUACACACGCGUCAUUAACGGCCGCUGGCACCUAGCAGCAGCGCGAACGAAGAGGAGGACCGUGUCGACGUGGCGUGCAAUUAGGUAUUCGAUGUUCGAAGCGACGAAGGAAGUGUCGUCCUUCUUGUUUGUCGCCGUGGCGCACGUCCGCGGCCAAGGUUCCUGGCCAAAUUUGAAAUCGUUCGUCGACACUUUUCAAUUUUGUCCCGCGUAUAACACUGUGUGCGUUAACAUUCAUAUCUUGCAAAUUUCAUCGUUGCUCUUUUGAGUUUGUCGAUCACAGAUGUAUCCAAUUGGUACAAUUGGAAAAAUGUAUUUAUUUUUGGGAACGGAAAGAUUAACAGAGACAAGAAUUGUCGAAGAAAGAAAUAAGAGGCAAAGAGGCACGAUUAACCAGAUAGCUGACCUUCCUUAACGAAAACUCCGAUUAUCGCCGAGAGAGGCGUCACGUUCGCUCACGUUCCAUCGAAAUUCGCCCAAAGGCGAAUUUCACGUCGCUCGAUCUAUCCUCGAUUCAUCCGAGAAUAGAAUAGAUCCAACGGAAUUCGUUCCCUUAUUGGUUGAAGAAAGGUCUGAGAAAAGUCUUAAUCUCCCCCUCCUUUCGACCGGAAUCAUCCAUUGAAUUGACGAUAUUAUUACGGCUCGUCUCGUAAGGCCGAGAAUCGUUUACCAAAUAGGUCGUAUCGUAUAAUUUCGUGCAACGUGACUCGGUGACCUAGAAAAUAACGCGGCCGUUUUCGCGGCAGAGACUCGUUCGGGGGCUAUCUUUAAGACAGUCCCGCGGUUGUUGGAAGAGAUAUACUCUCUGUCGAGGAAUAGAACGAGCCCAUUCAUCCGUUCAGUCGUUCGAUUUUUCAUAUUAUUCGUAUAUUCUCCUUGACGAUGCAUGGAUGUAAUGGUUUCGCCGAUUUUUUUUUUUUUUUUUCUUUCUUUCCUCGUGUGUUAAAAGCGACGAUUUAAGCCGACUCGAAUAAUUGUUUUCGUUUUUUCUUUUUUUUUUUUUUAUUCGAUUUCGUUCCUUUAUGAAAUACGACAAAAAUAUAUUUUCGAAUGCCAAAAGAUGAACAAAUUUUGUUUCUUUUUUUUUUUAUUUUGGAAAUAUUUAAAAAUGAUAAAAUAAAUUACUUCUCGUUAAGGUAAGAUGUUCACAGAUAUUUUUUUGUCUCGAAAAGUCGAUAAUCGAUCCUUUUACGCUCUCGGUGUUAAUUUCGAAAUCAAAUUUUCUUCGCAUACUUAAAAGACUUAAAAGACAAGAUUUUCCAUUUAUCGAAAACGGAGAAAUCUGCAUCGAUACCAUAGAUCACGGCAGAGUGCAUACGUUAAAAUGCAUACGUGUUUGCGCCAGCCACACGAAAUAGAUCGGGUAAAUAAAUCAACAUUGGUCGGAGGCCACGUGAGAUGAAUGGAAGCCGAACCGCGAGCGGACGAUUUAAUCCUUCGAGGCUCGUACCGGAAGUUUCCCCUCGAGGAAACGGAACUCGUGACGUUCCUCCUCUCCUAUCGAUCUUCUUGCGAUAUUUAAAAAAAAAAAAUUGUGUACAAUUUACAUACUGGAAAUUCAAUAAUCGAUUUCAU